rfam:Sorghum bicolor cultivar BTx623 chromosome 4, whole genome shotgun sequence.
AUACCUUUCUCGGCCUUUUGGCUAAGAUCAAGUGUAGUAUCUGUUCUUAUCAGUUUAAUAUCUGAUAUGUGGGCCAUGUGCCCACUUCGAUAUUAAAUUUAUUUUUUGUGGGGGAGGGGUCACCACAGUGGCUUGCCACUGGGCCCCUCGAGCGUCGCCCAGCCGUUGCACUGCUGGCAGGGCCUGGCGCACCCCAA